rnacentral:lncRNA from 1 species
GCACCCAGGGGCCCCUGGCGUUCCCGAGGCCGAGCCCGGCCCAAAGCCACCGCCGCUUUCCAAAGCCAACCCGGGCCAAUGGCGAUCCUCGCAGGGGGAAGGCCGCGCGCGGCCCGCGGAGGUCUUUCUCCGCCUGGAAGCGCCGUCCCAGCCCCGGCGGGGAGGGUGCAGGCCUGCUCCACUCCACUUUAGAAGCCGCGCGCAACUCCACCGCGGCCUGGGGCGUCUCCAACCUGCACCGCUUUUGGCGAGUUUCCCAGUACGCGGUGCCAGGCAAACCCUCUGACCCGAGAACGCUGGUGAAAAUGCAUAUUCCUCUGCAGUUACCAAUACUAACUGGUCUCAUUUCUACUCAACGCGCGUCCUGUGAUUAAGGCUGAGGCAGUGGGUGUCUGGGGAGGAAGUCAGAGCUGGCACCCACAGGACAACCACACGUGCGCACGACACCCCGGUGAGGCCGCACAUCCAGACCAGGAUAUGAGGUCAGGCUGCGAACAGACGGGUGUGAGUUCAGAGUGAGAGGACUUAGUCCCUACAAUGAGAAUUUUCGGAGGCACGGUCUGGGCCUCUUCUCUGAUUCAUUUUCUUUAACAGAGAACUUUUCCUCUUCCUUUGGCCGAGUGCCACGGGGUGAGGGUGGGGGGACCAUUGUUUAAAAUCCAUUUCAUUCAAUUAUUUUAAACUCUUGUUUGGACUGACCACAGACAAUGUUAUAAAGCAGCAACAAUCACAGUCGUGUUACUGGCGCACACCCAGAAAUCUAGGUCAGAGGGAAACAAUAAGGAACUCAAUGGCACCAAAUAAUUCAAUAAAAUCAGGUAAGUUCCCCUCAUGACAGGAAAAGGAAUUUAUUUCAUUUAUUUCUUUCAUAAAUGGUGUUAAUCACAAAACUGUAAAGGGGGAAGUUUAGUCCACAUCUUCUAGCCAUGAAGAGUAAGAGCUGACGUGUAUUGUGCUCUUCCUAUGUGCCAUGUUACCUUCAUUAACUGUAUUGCAUCUGCGUAAUGAUUCUGUGAGGAAACAGAUUAUCCCAAUUCUUCAGGUUUAAAAACAAACAAACCCCACAGAUGCUCAGAGAAGUCAGACACCUUGCCCACAGCUGGAAACAGGCGGAGAUGGACUCAACCCAGGUCUGCCUGGCUCCAAGGAUCAGGCUCCCGACCAGUGGAUGAUGCUGACCCUUCACAUCAAGAAUAAAUUCCAAGUGGAUUAAAGCAUUGGAUAUCUUUGGUCAAAUAACUAGCAUUGUCAUUAUAUGUUUCAGAGAAAGCCUUGGUUAUGAGACCCUGGCUACUUUCUAGCCUAUCCUGUAAUGACAAAAACCCGGGUAUCUUCAGUACCUCAGGAAUGGCUAAGUAACAAGAUCUUCACUUGGCUCUGCCAAAAACAGCACAUAAAAACUCCAGUUGGACAGGAUGUAACCAGUGUAUAUCACAGGGGUUCUCGGCCAGGAUGUCAUUAACUUUCCACAUGUGUCCUGCCAAAUUCUGAUCAACAUACAACAUGUAUUUUUACUGCCAUUGAAUGGACCUACUGCUAGAGUCGUGGUACCAGAUCAGGCCUCAUGAGCAUCCAAGAGGGCACCAUCAGGGAAGUUUGCAGCUCCCAUCAUCUGGAGAUGCAGGACUACAGGGCCCCCAGGGGAUGGGUGCAGUGACUCUGGAUGCUUUCUAGGAUCUGGGAAGCGCUGUCAUUCUGCUGGACAGCCUGCGUGUGGUGACUGCUAACAUGUUUAGUGUUGUCUUGAAUCUGUCAACCUCUACACGUAAUGCCAAAAAUAACACUCAAAAGGGUGCCACCAGUACCAACUAGUGAAAAAAUACAGUAUCUGUCUGUUUUGUUGCCCUUUUGGAAAGUUCAGGGGCCUUGGAUCAGACUAUAAUAAAGUCUGUCAUUAUAUAGCAUUUCAUAUUAAAGGGCCAUAUUCAAAUUGGCGGCUUAAUGCCAAGAAUUACACAUUAUUAGGCAUUUUGGAAAUUCUAGCCAUAUCCUUGAAUACCGUCUGUUAAUAUAGGCCCAGAUAUUUGCUUGCCUUGUGCUGUUCUUUAUAUUGGUAUAUGUUUAUUUUUUUAAGCUAAUUAUUAUUACUAAUAUUCUGCUCUUGAGUCUAAAAUGAUCUUAUCCUCUUAAAUCCUCUUAAAAUGAAUAAUGCUUAUAAACUGUACCCAAAUCUUUUUAAUUUUAGUUAUAAAACCAUACAUCAACAGAUCUAACAAAAUACUGAAUUAGUGGCAAUGGAUACUGAAAAAACUGCCAAACUACACUUCUGUAUCAAACCUGGCCUAUACUUUCCAUAUCCAGCUUUUGACGCUUUUGAAAGAUACGAAGAGCAUUCUGUUACAAGCAAAUAAAGGAGAGCUUCAAUCUUCUUACCAGAAGAACACCCCAAGAAGGAUUCCUUCUAAUCAGCCUAAGACCCAAAAGCUAUUAGCUAAAAAGAAAGGGAAAAGGAAAGAAAUUAAAGACUGUGAACUAACUUGUUUGCUAUGUUGCAUUAGUUUGGGAAGAAAUACAUUUUUAAUGUGCAUGUAAUAUGUGCCAGGCACUCUUAAGCCUCACAGUAACCUAAUGAUUUUGUAUAGUUUAAUUCCAUUUCACAAGUAAGAAAACUGACUGGAGGGAGAGGGGGAAGUAUUCUGUCCAAGUUCACACAGCCAGGAGGUAGGAAGGUAGGAAAGUCUUGAACUUUGUAAAAUGGCAGAAAAUUUCCAAUUUAAGUGAAAGGUGGAUAAUAUGAGUAAGAUCAGAAGAUGAAAUAAGUAACAUUAACUGUUGGGAAAACAUGUCUUAGGAGAAAAUAAUUCAGGGAACUAGAGC